UACGAAGGGGGCUAGCGUUGCUCGGAAUCACUGGGCGUAAAGCGCACGUAGGCGGAUUGUUAAGUCAGGGGUGAAAUCCUGGAGCUCAACUCCAGAACUGCCUAUGAUACUGGCGAUCUCGAGUCCGGGAGAGGUGAGUGGAACUGCGAGUGUAGAGGUGAAAUUCGUAGAUAUUCGCAAGAACACCAGUGGCGAAGGCGGCUCACUGGCCCGGUACUGACGCUGAGGUGCGAAAGCGUGGGGAGCGAACAGG
rnacentral:rRNA from 1 species